rnacentral:rRNA from 1 species
UGUCCUUUUGAAAUUUAUAUAAGGUCUAACCUGCCCACUGAAAAUUUAAUGGCCGCAGUAUCCUAACUGUGCAAAGGUAGCAUAAUAAUUAGUCUUUUAAUUGAAGGCUGGAAUGAAUGGUUGGACGAAAUAUUAACUGUUUCAUUAAAAAUUUUUAUAGAACUUUAUUUUUUAGUCAAAAAGCUAAAAUUAAUUUAAAAGACGAGAAGACCCUAUAAAGCUUUAUAAAUAUUAAUAGUUAAAGAAUUAAGAUUUUUUUUAUUUUAUUACUAAAAUUUAUUUUAUUGGGGUGAUAUGAAAAUUUAAAUAACUUUUUAUUGUUUAUACAUUAAUUUAUGAAUAAAUGAUCCACUUUUUGUGAUUAUAAAUUUAAGUUACUUUAGGGAUAACAGCGUAAUUUUUUUGGAGAGUUCAUAUCGAUAAAAAAGAUUGCGACCUCGAUGUUGGAUUAAGGAAUAUGUUUAGGCGCAGCCGUUUAAAUGUUAAGUCUGUUCGACUUUUAAA